UUGACCCAGUGUGGGCCGGUCGGUCUGCUAUGUUUUUUUGUUUGUUUGUUUGUAGUUGUUCUCCCUCCAAUCAGCCGCCAAUUGGCUACUGGGGGCUAGCAGUGUUACCAGCAUCGCCACAUAUAAUUAGUCUAUUGUUGGUCAUUGUCAAUCAAUCAUGGGCUGGCAGGUUCAGAGAGCCCUGACAGUGCUAUAGUAGUAGUGAGCGUCUUUGAAUAAGACUUUGGAUAAGAGGAAGAAACACCCGGUGGUGCUGAGAAACAGCAAUUAAAAAAGUUGAAGUCUCUGGAGGUGGAGGCUUCUAAUGUUCAAAGUUGACAGACUUUUUUGAUGCCGGGACCACCAACCUGCCAGCAACCACAGGUGCUGCUGCACCCAGAGACGAGGGAGGAGGACCUAAUGAUGAUGAGUGAGUGGAGGCAGACAUGGUGGCUUGUGAGCGCACAUUUUCAAUCCUGAAGUUUAUUAAAUACAGACUCAGAAGCACCCUGUCAUCUGACAGAUUGGAGUCAUUUAUGUUGAUGGCCACAGAGAAAGACAUUCUCAUGGCCUUGGACUCUAAUUCGGUGAUAGACAGACUUGCAGAAAAGAGUGAGCAGCUUAAAAAGCUGCUCCACUGAUAAGACCACUUGACACUGAGGAGUUGUUCCCCCUCCGUCCAUGUUCGAGGACUUGCUCUCUCUCUCUGCCACCAUUCUCUGCCUUUACUGCACCAAAGUUUGGCUGUUGACUCUCCUGUAGUAUGCUGCAAUAAUUACACCAGCUGCUAGAGGUCGCCACCUAAUGACGCAAAUAUGGGUCGUCAUAAGCUGCACCCAUUUUUUAGCCUGUGAAGACGGGCUCCUCAUCAGCAGAGUCACAGCACUACGGCAUCUCUCUCAGGAACUGCUCUUUUAAAUUUCAUGUGGGUGAUGUCACCUUUUCGCCCCCGGCAUACAACAAAUGACACAUGGCUUGUAAAGAAACACUGUAUCAGAGCAUUCAGUUAUUAGAUAGCGUCAAAUGCAGCGGCUGUUAUGGACCUCACAUGUUGACCCGUUGGUCGCAGGUGUAACUAACAACAUUAAUUGCGUUGGCAUCUCAUCUAGGUGUUCCAGUGUCGCGGUCCUGCUGUGACAUAAGCUGUCUCACUGACAUGGCCUAUGUAGAAUGAAAGCAUAAUUACUGUUACCACAGCGCAAGUCGCUUUGCCUCCGACUGUUGCAUGCAACAAAAUGGCAGCAGCUCAUUAUAUGUGUGCAGUGUCGCUCUGACAUGAGUAACUUGCCGUCUACGCAGGCUAGCAUGUGAACUAAUAAAUAAGGAUCAGCCUUUAAAGCUGAAAUACAUAAAUGGAUGUGUUAACUUCAUCGUGAUGACUAAUGCACUAACCACUGUGUCCAUUUAAAUAAAAACUGACAGUUGUGUUCACAUUCA